rnacentral:tRNA from 1 species
GGGGUUGUGGCUCAGUGGUAGAGUGCUAGCCUAACAUGCUUGAGGACUGGGUUCAAUCCUU